rnacentral:rRNA from 1 species
AUUGAACGCUGGCGGCAGGCCUAACACAUGCAAGUCGAGCGGAUGAAGGGAGCUUGUUCCUGGAUUCAGCGGCGGACGGGUGGGUAAUGCCUAGGAAUCUGCCUGGUCGUGGGGGAUAACGUCCGGAAACGGGCGCUAAUACCGCAUACGUCCUGAGGGUGAAAGUGGGGGUUCUUUGGACCCAACGCUAUUAGAUGAGCCUAGGUCGGAUUAGCUAGUUGGUGGGGUAAAGGCCUACCAAGGCGACGAUCCGUAACUGGUCUGAGAGGAUGAUCAGUCACACUGGAACUGAGACACGGUCCAGACUCCUACGGGAGGCAGCAGUGGGGAAUAUUCGACAAUGGGCGAAAGCCUGAUCCAGCCACGCCGCGUGUGUGAAGAAGGUCUUCGGAUUGUAAAGCACUUUAAGUUGGGAGGAAGAGAAGUAAAUGAAUACCUUGCUGUUUUGACGUUACCAACAGAAUAAGCACCGGCUAACUUCGUG